rnacentral:rRNA from 1 species
UACGUAGGGCGCAAGCGUUGUCCGGAAUUAUUUGGGCGUAAAGAGCUCGUAGGUGGCUUGUCACGUCGGGUGUGGAAAGCUUGGGGCCUUAACUCCAGGUCUGCAUUCGAUACGGGCUGGCUAGAGGUAGGUAGGGGAGAACGGAAUUCCUGGUGUAGCGGUGAAAUGCGCAGAUAUCAGGAGGAACACCGGUGGCGAAGGCGGUUCUCUGGGCCUUACCUGACGCUGAGGAGCGAAAGCGUGGGGAGCGAACAGG